rnacentral:rRNA from 1 species
CCUACGGGAGGCAGCAGUAGGGAAUCUUCCACAAUGGGCGAAAGCCUGAUGGAGCAACGCCGCGUGAGUGAAGAAGGAUUUCGGUUCGUAAAACUCUGUUGUAAGGGAAGAACAAGUACAGUAGUAACUGGCUGUACCUUGACGGUACCUUAUUAGAAAGCCACGGCUAACUACGUGCCAGCAGCCGCGGUAAUACGUAGGUGGCAAGCGUUGUCCGGAUUUAUUGGGCGUAAAGCGCGCGCAGGUGGUUUCUUAAGUCUGAUGUGAAAGCCCACGGCUCAACCGUGGAGGGUCAUUGGAAACUGGGAGACUUGAGUGCAGAAGAGGAGAGUGGAAGUCCAAGUGUAGCGGUGAAAUGCGUAGAGAUUUGGAGGAACACCAGUGGCGAAGGCGACUAUCUGGUCUGUAACUGACACUGAGGCGCGAAAGCGUGGGGAGCAAACAGGAUUAGAUACCCUUGUAGUC